rnacentral:rRNA from 1 species
UUUGGUGGCGAUAGCGAAGAGGUCACACCCGUUCCCAUACCGAACACGAAAGUUAAGCUCUUCAGCGCCGAUGGUAGUCGGGGGUUUCCCCCUGUGAGAGUAGGACGCCGCCAAGC